AUACGGAGGGUGCGAGCGUUAAUCGGAAUUACUGGGCGUAAAGCGUACGUAGGCGGUUGGUUAAGUUAGAUGUGAAAGCCCCGGGCUUAACCUGGGAACUGCAUUUAAAACUGGCGAACUAGAGUUGAGUAGAGGGGAGUGGAAUUUCAGGUGUAGCGGUGAAAUGCGUAGAGAUUUGAAGGAACACCAGUGGCGAAGGCGACUCCCUGGACUCGAACUGACGCUGAGGUACGAAAGCGUGGGUAGCAAACGGGAUUAGAAACCCUAGUAGUCC
rnacentral:rRNA from 1 species